rnacentral:rRNA from 1 species
GAUGAACGCUAGCGGCAGGCCUAACACAUGCAAGUCGAAGGGUAGCAGGAUUAAGCUUGCUUAAUUGCUGACGACCGGCGCACGGGUGCGUAACGCGUAUGCAACCUACCUUAUACUGGGGUAUAGCCCGGAGCAAUUCGGAUUAAUCCCCCAUAGUACUAAUGAAUCGCAUGGUUUAUUAGUUAAAGCAUUGCGGUAUAAGAUGGGCAUGCGUACUAUUAGCUAGAUGGUGAGGUAACGGCUCACAAAGGCUACGAUAGGUAGGGGGCCUGAGAGGGUGGUCCCCCACACUGGUACUGAGACACGGACCAGACUCCUACGGGAGGCAGCAGUGAGGAAUAUUGGUCAAUGGGCGCAAGCCUGAACCAGCCAUGCCGCGUGCAGGAAGAAUGCCCUAUGGGUUGUAAACUGCUUUUAUUUGGGAAUAAACCUCUUUACGUGUAGAGAGCUGAAGGUACCAAAUGAAUAAGCACCGGCUAACUCCGUGCCAGCCGCCGCGGUAA